GUUAAGUUAGUUUAUGUAAAGAACACCAGCCUGUGGAUCUGGAAAAAAGAGUUUAUCUUACCUAACC
rnacentral:tRNA from 1 species